GCAACCGUGGCCGACGUUUUUGCGGUACUUAGUCCGUGCAGGGACCGCCCUCAGGGGCUUUAUUCCUUGCAACGGCCUAUGAAUGAGGUAUUAUUAUCAUCAGCUCCAUUUGACGGUGAGGAGACUGGGGCACGGUGAGCUUACGCGACUCGCUCCGUGCCCUCCUGCAGGCAGUGGCGGAGCCCGGCUUAGGCCAGAGGCUGUGGCGUCUGCAUCCGGGAGCUCAGCCACGUGCACCUGGAACGGGGGUCUUAAUCCUGCGUGCGUCAGACUCACGUGCCAGUCCUGCAAAUACCUGCUGAGUCAGACUCCCCAGCCUCCGCAUUUGCAAUCAACCUCCGUGCCUCGGCACGGUCGGUGCUGGAACACAGGCAUUCCCCACUCUGGCUUCCUUCUCCUGACUCACUGGCUCUUCACCAAGUUCUAGGACUGGACUAUUAGGGUUGCCUCUGACCCAUUCCUGACACAUCUAUGUCACCAGCCCGCAUGUCAGGAGGAACAGGUUCUAGUUGCCUCAGGGGGAAACAGCCGUCCUGGGAUCAUCCUUCUCCACCUGUCUGAAGCUAUAUCCGGUCAUGUGACCAGUGGGAGAGAGACUGUGAGCCACGGUGGAUGUGUCACCCAACGUCUCGGUCUUUUAAGUAAACUACACCUGACAACACUGUGUUAUCCCGAGCUCCUUCAGUUUCCUGGAAACUCCCAGGAUGUUUCAGAAGGCAGAGUUCAGCUGUAACUUGGAUGGUGUUUACUUUAUCUCUCUAACACUAGGAGAACGAAUGCUCUGCCCGUCACCGUCCCUGCUGUGUCCUGAGUGCUAGAAGCCAGCCAGGAACCACGCCUAGAACACUCCAAAGGUACUAUUUUAACGCUGUUUCACAAGUCAAGAAACCAAGAUCACCUACAGAGCUUGAGGGACUCGGAGCAAAAUGAAGACGACAAAUGGAAAUUAUGAGGAAUAUCAAGAUGAUGACAGCAGAGCAUUGCACCAGGCGCAAUCACAUAGGACCCAUGAAACGGGCCCUGGAGGAAACCAAGGGCCAGAGAAGUUAAGUUACUUUCCCAAGGUCACACAGCAAGUUUUGGAGCCUCUAAAAAUCGUUUAUUUAUUGUAAACUCCCUGCAGGCAGAGGCUUUGAGGUCACUGGUGGCAUGUUCUGGUCCCGGGUCCUCAGGUCUCCACGAGUUUGAUGGCCAAGUCCCCUCUCUGAUUGUUUCUGAACGCAAGAAAACGAGAACCAAAUUAUAAAUGGAUAAGCUAAACACGAGUUUUAUUUACAGCUAUGGCAUUCAGUGCUGCAAAAGAGUUUAAGGAGCUAAACUAUUUUUUGUUUCUAUGAAAGAGACUUCAUUUUUUCUGUGAGAUUCUUUGCUGGUGAUGGGAAGAAAGGAGAGAUAAAAUCUCAGGGGCACAUCAAUGCAUUAAUCAUGGUCCUAAUCUCAUGACCUGUUAUUAUUAUUAUGCCCUUUUAGUUUAACUAUUCUUUAUUUUCAGUGCAGUAACGAUUACCUCUGAACUCACCUAAGAACUAGCUUAUUGCUGAUAAUUCAUAUCUCCUCUGGGCUCCUUACCCGUAUCAUUUUCCCAUCUCAGAUGUGAUCACUGUCCCGAAUGUCACAUGUCCCGGUUGCUAGUUUUCAGAUGUGUUACAUUUGCAUGCCUGGCUAAAUAAUGUAUUGUUUGCUUAAAAGCAAAUUCAUAGAAAGGGUAUUUUGAAAUUCAUAGAAAGGGUAUUUUAUGUCAUCUUCUGAGACUUGCUUUUUUGACUCAAGAAUAGCUGAAAAGAGUCCAUUGCCGUGUGGUUACAUAGACUGGUAUUUUAUUUAUUUUCACUAGUAUAGAACAUUCCAUUAUCUGGACAGACUAUAAUGUAGUUAUCCAUUGCCCUCUCAUGGGCAUUUAGGUUGUUUCAGAUUUUUGCUAUUAAACAGAGUGCUUCCGGGGCGCCUGGGUGGCUCAGUCGGUUGAGCGUCCGACUUUGGCUCAGGU